AACCAUAGUGCUCUGCUCACUUUGGUGCCCUAAUUGUGAUCUGGAAGGAAGGGAGGUUUUGUGAUUGUGAAGAUGCUCUUUGGUUCCAGUAGUGCAGAUUCUUGAUUGUGGAUCGAAGGAUAAGGACUGUGAGGUGAAAUUUAGUGCUGUAGAUCAACAAGUGCGGUUGUGAGAUUCUGUUCUGUUCUCUUCUGUGGUGUUCUUGAUUUCAGCUCACUUUGUUCAAGCAACACUCCUUUCCGCCAGUUCCUCUUUGGCUGCUGAUUAAGAACAGAAAUCUGUGAUUUGAGGUCUUUGACGCGAGACGGGUAUCUCGAUUAUUGGAUUGGAAAGCUAUUUUGGAGGCGGGUAC